rnacentral:rRNA from 1 species
AUGUUUUGGUGGGGCUGUAAAGCUGGUGAACGAAAAGUGGCAUGGGUUUCAUGGGAUGUCAUGAUUCAACCUAAAUCAAUGGGAGGUUUGGGGUACAGAGAAUUGGAAUUAUUUAACUUAGCUCUGCUCACGACGCAGACGUGGAGGUUCCUACAGACCAAUUCUUUAAGUGUCAGAAUUCUCAAAUUUGUAUACUUCCCGGAGUCUUCGAUUUUGGAAGCCAAUCUUGGUUCACAUCCUUCACAAAUAUGAAGAUUUAUUGUUGAAGGAAGGGAUGUCCUUACCUAGGGCUUAAUCGGGAAAAUUGGAAAUGGUGUGACGGCGAAGAUAUGGGGUCAUAAUUGGCCGCCUCGAGAGGGAGCAGUGAGAUCGAUUACUACUCCAAAUCAUGCUAAUGACUCUAUGGUUAGUGAACUUAUUGACGAAACUUUGACCUAUUGGAGGGAGGAGUUGGUGCGCAACACAUUCUUACCUAUGGAUGCCUCGGUCAUCCUAGGAAUCCCUUUGUGCACCCGUAAUAUAUCUGAAUUUUGGUCUUGGGCUCAUGAUAAAAGAGGUAUUUUCAAUGUCCGUUCAACCUACCAGAUGAUUGUUCAGACCAAGUAUAAUCGAGAAGGGUGGUUAUUUCAUAAAUCUGGGUCAUCGACAACUGCAGCUGAAGGGGGAGAUUUGGUGUAA